AUUGAACGCUGGCGGAAUGCUUUACACAUGCAAGUCGAGCGGCAGCGCGGGGCAACCUGGCGGCGAGCGGCGAACGGGUGAGUAACACAUCGGAACGUGCCCAGGAGUGGGGGAUAGCCCGGCGAAAGCCGGAUUAAUACCGCAUACGAACUGAGGUUGAAAGCGGGGGACCGAAAGGCCUCGCGCUCGUGGAGCGGCCGAUGGCAGAUUAGGUAGUUGGUGGGGUAAAGGCCCACCAAGCCUGCGAUCUGUAGCUGGUCUGAGAGGACGACCAGCCACACUGGGACUGAGACACGGCCCAGACUCCUACGGGAGGCAGCAGUGGGGAAUUUUGGACAAUGGGCGCAAGCCUGAUCCAGCCAUUCCGCGUGCAGGACGAAGGCCUUCGGGUUGUAAACUGCUUUGUACGGAGCGAAAGGGUCCUGCCUAAUACGUGGGGCAGUAUGACGGUACCGUAAGAAUAAGCACCGGCUAACUACGUGCCAGCAGCCGCGGUAA
rnacentral:rRNA from 1 species